rnacentral:rRNA from 1 species
AUUGAACGCUGGCGGCAGGCCUAACACAUGCAAGUCGAGCGGAUGAAGGGAGCUUGCUCCUGGAUUCAGCGGCGGACGGGUGAGUAAUGCCUAGGAAUCUGCCUGGUAGUGGGGGAUAACGUCCGGAAACGGGCGCUAAUACCGCAUACGUCCUGAGGGAGAAAGUGGGGGAUCUUCGGACCUCACGCCAUCAGAUGAGCCUAGGUCGGAUUAGCUAGUUGGUGGGGUAAAGGCCUACCAAGGCGACGAUCCGUAACUGGUCUGAGAGGAUGAUCAGUCACACUGGAACUGAGACACGGUCCAGACUCCUACGGGAGGCAGCAGUGGGGAAUAUUGGACAAUGGGCGAAAGCCUGACCCAGCCAUGCCGCGUGUGUGAAGAAGGUCUUCGGAUUGUAAAGCACUUUAAGUUGGGAGGAAGGGCAGUAAGUUAAUACCUUGCUGUUUUGACGUUACCAACAGAAUAAGCACCGGCUAACUUCGUG